UACGUAGGGUGCGAGCGUUAAUCGGAAUUACUGGGCGUAAAGCGUGCGCAGGCGGUUCGUUAUGUCCGAUGUGAAAGCCCCGAGCUCAACUUGGGAAUGGCAUUGGAAACUGGCGGGCUGGAGUGUGGCAGAGGGGGGUGGAAUUCCACGUGUAGCAGUGAAAUGCGUAGAUAUGUGGAGGAACACCGAUGGCGAAGGCAGCCCCCUGGGUCAAGACUGACGCUCAGGUGCGAAAGCCAGGGGAGCGAACGGG
rnacentral:rRNA from 1 species